CCUACGGGAGGCAGCAGUAGGGAAUCUUCCACAAUGGACGAAAGUCUGAUGGAGCAACGCCGCGUGAAGGUCAGUGCCCUAUGGGCGUUAAACUUCUUUUGUGCGGGAGCAAUAAUGGUCACGUGUGGCCAGACGAGAGUACCGUACGAAUAAGCAUCGGCUAACUCCGUGCCAGCAGCCGCGGUAAUACGGGGGAUGCAAGCGUUAUCCGGAGUUAUUGGGUUUAAAGGGUGCGUAGGCUGUGAGGUAAGUCAGCGGUGAAAUGCCCCCGCUCAACGGGGUGAAGUGCCAUUGAUACUGCCUUGCUGGAAUGCGGAUGCCGUGGGAGGAAUGUGUGGUGUAGCGGUGAAAUGCAUAGAUAUCACACAGAACACCGAUUGCGAAGGCAGCUCACUGGACUGCAACUGACACUGAUGCUCGAAAGUGUGGGUAGCAAACAGGAUUAGAUACCCUUGUAGUC
rnacentral:rRNA from 1 species